rnacentral:piRNA from 1 species
UCUGAUCCAGCGUUACCUGACGGAGC